rnacentral:rRNA from 1 species
CCUACGGGUGGCAGCAGUGAGGAAUAUUGGUCAAUGGACGAGAGUCUGAACCAGCCAAGCCGCGUGAAGGAUGACUGCCUUAUGGGUUGUAACCUUUUUUUAUAUGGGAAUAAAAUGUUCCACCUGAGGGAUUUUGUUUGUACCAUAUGUAUAAAGAUCGGCUAACUCCGUGCCAGCAGCCGCGGUAAUACGGAGGUUCCGGGCGUUAGCCGGAUUUAUUGGGUUUAAAGGGAGCGUAGGUGGAGUGGUAAGUCAGUUGUGAAAGUUUGCGGCUCAACCGUAAAAUUGCAGUUGAAACUGGCAGACUUGAGUACAGGAGAGGUGGGCGGAAUUCGUGGUGUAGCGGUGAAAGGCUUAGAUAUCACGAAGAACUCC